UUAAAGAGAGCCUAAAAAACUCCCGCAAACCCCAUGUGAACAUACCAUACGUUGCCUCGGCAGGCCUCAUACGUGCCCCCUCAUGGCGUGCCCGGCGCGCUGCCCCGCAAGGGGGGGGGGCCGCGGGUGAGACCUGCCGGUGGCCCAAGCAAACCCUGUUAUCACUGAAUUCUGAGCCCGCAUGUAGGAAAUUAAGUCAAAACUUUCAACAACGGAUCUCUUGGUUCUGGCAUCGAUGAAGAACGCAGCGAAAUGCGAUAAGUAAUGUGAAUUGCAGAAUUCAGUGAAUCAUCGAAUCUUUGAACGCACAUUGCGCCCGCCAGUAUUCUGGCGGGCAUGCCUGUUCGAGCGUCAUUUCAACCCCUUAAGCCCCUGUUGCUUAGCGUUGGGAGCCUACGGCCCGCCGUAGCUCCUCAAAGUUAGUGGCGGAGUCGGCCCGUACCCCAGGCGUAGUAGUUCAUUCAGCUCGCCCGCGGUCGGACCGGUCCCCUGCCGUAAAACACACCAUUUUUUAAGGUUGACCUCGGAUCAGGUAGGGAUACCCGCUGAACUUAAGCAUAUCAAUAAGCGGAGGAAAAGAAACCAACAGGGAUUGCCCUAGUAACGGCGAGUGAAGCGGCAACAGCUCAAAUUUGAAAUCUGGCCCUCGGGUCCGAGUUGUAAUUUGUAGAGGAUGCCUUUGGCGCGGUGCCUUCCGAGUUCCCUGGAACGGGACGCCUUAGAGGGUGAGAGCCCCGUACGGUUGGACACCAAGCCUCUGUAAGGCUCCUUCGACGAGUCGAGUAGUUUGGGAAUGCUGCUCUAAAUGGGAGGUAAAUUUCUUCUAAAGCUAAAUAUUGGCCAGAGACCGAUAGCGCACAAGUAGAGUGAUCGAAAGAUGAAAAGCACUUUGAAAAGAGGGUUAAAUAGCACGUGAAAUUGUUGAAAGGGAAGCGUUUGCGACCAGACCUCUCCCCGGCGGAUCACCUGGUGUUCUUCACCGGGGCACUUCGCCGGGGCGGAGGCCAGCAUCGGUUUCCGCAGGGGGAUAAAAGCUCAGGGAACGUAGCUCCUUCGGGAGUGUUAUAGCCCUCCGCACAAUACCCCUGCGGGGACCGAGGACCGCGCCCUCGGC
rnacentral:rRNA from 1 species